rnacentral:lncRNA from 1 species
UGCCCUGGGGGAACUGCAGGUGCUGGUUGAAAAACGAACCGCGAAAGACCACCUGGACAACAUGUUCAGUCGUAAACUCUACCACUUCGGCUUUGUGAACACCGCCUUCUACUAUUUCAACUAUGAUCAGCUUGAAUCUAUGCUGAAAGUGCUAAAGAAAGUUUCUGAUCUGAUGGACGACAGGAGAAGUCCCACGAGACCCAUCUACACCGUAAUCGCGGUUGCUCUGAUCUCCACUGGCUGGGUCGACGCAGCAGUGAAUGAAUUCAGGAAGACGCACA